rnacentral:rRNA from 1 species
GACGAACCGUGCGAACGUUAUUCGGAAUCACUGGGCUUAAAGCGCGUGUAGGCGGGCCGCCGCGUCGGCUGCUGAAAUCCCCCGGCUCAACCGGGGAACGGGCACCGAUACGGGCGGCCUCGAGGGGGGUAGGGGGGUCUGGAACUUCCGGUGGAGCGGGUGAAAUGCGCAGAUAUCAGGAGGAACACCGGUGGCGAAGGCGGCUCACUGGACCGGUACUGACGCUGAUGCGCGAAAGCGUGGGGAGCAAACGGG